rnacentral:misc_RNA from 1 species
CCGAGUUUACAACUCCCAAACCCCUGUGAACAUACCUACUUGUUGCCUCGGCGGAUCAGCCCGCGCCCGUAAAACGGGACGGCCCGCCAGAGGACCCCUAAACUCUGUUUCUAUAGUGGAACUUCUGAGUAAAACCAUAAAUAAAUCA